rnacentral:tRNA from 1 species
GCCUCUGUAACGUAAUGGUUAACGUGCCAGCCUUCUAAGCUGGAAAUUGUGGGUUCGAUCCCCACCAGAGGUG